GCUCAGAAACUCAAAGGAAUUGACGGGGGCUCACACAAGCGGUGGAGCAUGUGUUUAAUCGAGGCUACGCGAAGAACCUUACCUGGGUUUGAAGCGGUAGGUAUAAGCAUGUCGAAAGAUGUGUGAUUGCCCUUCGGGGUGUAACCUAUCACAGGUGCUGCAUGGCUGUCGUCAGCUCGUGUCGUGAGAUGUCGGGUUAAGUCCAUAACGAGCGAAACCCUUGUCCUUAGUUGCUAGCGGGUAAAGCCGAGGACUCUAAGGAGACUGCCGGUGUUAAACCGUGAGGAAGGUGGGGACGACGUCAAGUCAUCAUGGCCUUUAUGUCCAGGGCUACAAACGUGCUACAAUGGCCGGCAUAAAGGGAGGCAAAACCGUGAGGUGGAGCAAAUCUCAAAAAUCCGGCCCCAGUUCGGAUUGGAGGCUGCAAUUCGCCUCCAUGAAGUUGGAAUCGCUAGUAAUCGCGUGUCAGCUACAACGCGGUGAAUGUGUUCCUGAGCCUU
rnacentral:rRNA from 1 species